GACAUUCUCGCAAAUUCAGGGGCCUGCUUGGGUUGUUUAUACCCGGCCUUUCUCUGACAGUCACCAAGUCCCAGUUUCCACAGCAAAUUAUUCUAAACAGGGCUUAUUAUCAAGGCAUAAAAAAGUUAAAACACAGAUGGCUGGAGAGUUCCUGUUUAAUUUAAAUGCCCUGUGGCCCACAUCAAUGUGAGUCUGUCUUGUCCUAGAUUUACUAUCGAUAAAUUGGCUGCACUUAUUAGAUGGCAGAGGCCUAAGAUGUUGGUGGGGAGUAUUUCAAAUAGAAUUAACAUGAAGAGAUGCAGAGCCGUAUCCUAUCAUCUGUGAAAUAUGGAGAAGGACAAGCCGUACAUAAACAGCCACCAGGCCCACUGGUUCAUCACUGUGACACGGGUGGAGAAGCCAAGGCCUGAUUUCCAGGAAGUUCCUCACUGGAGCAAGAGUGUUUUGUUAAGAGUAAACCCACUAGUGCCUUGCCCUGCAGUCCCACAUUCUCAUUCACUGUCCAGAUCUUGCUCCAGGACCGAGGUGUCAUUCCCCCACUGCCAGGAGCUCUGCCUGCUGGUGGCUUACAGCUGAAUCCCUGCCCAAGAAUUGCCUUUGGCCACAGAGUGCUGCCUUGCCCAAAGUUACGACCUCUGCUGGAGGCAUCUUGCAUCCAAUGACUUGCCAGGGUGGGGAGCUUAAAAACCCAAUACUCCUGCCUCUGAAGGGCUGUCCCAGCUCCUGUGGGCCUGGCUGAGGCCUCUGUUAUGGCAGCAGCAUGGCUUACCCUCUCCUUCUGCCCAGUCCUGAUUCCCUUGUGCCCCCAUGGGUAUGGUUCCUGAGUCCACUCUCCAAAACCCCUCCUGCAUACAAUCUCAUCUCAGAACCUGCCUCCCAGGGAAACUGAUCCAUGACAACUCUCCUAACGUCUCCUGGGAGAAGACGUUCUGGAAAUUGAGAAGGAGAAAAUGCAAUGACAAGUCAUCAAGUGAGGUAGAUUCAAUAUUCAGACCCUAUGGCUAACUUCCCCUUCCUCUUUCCUAGGUGGGCAGGUGGGUGGGGGAAAUAUCGUUAUUGGUACAAUUAGAAUAAAGUGUGUGUUAAUGAGGUGGUUGAUCCGUAU
rnacentral:lncRNA from 12 species